rnacentral:tRNA from 1 species
UCCUUGAAGUUUCAUUGGUUAAGACUGCACUUCCAAUGCAGGGGUUGCAGGUUCGAUCCCUGGUCAGGGAA